rnacentral:lncRNA from 1 species
UUUGAUUUGCAUGAUGAUUUCCCACCGCUCCAAACACAAGCAUUAUUGGCAUUGAAAUUCCUAUAUGAUGCUGUAAAAGGAGCCUUAGACCAAUCUGUCUUGACUAGUCCACCCCUUGUUGCCCAAUUAUCAGCAUUCCACAGGCUUGAAGUUAACCUCAUUGGUUGAUUCUUUGGAAAGGGAACUCCAGCUGAUUCCAAAUUCUUGAACUCCCUAAUUGGUGUCCCAUCCACAGAAAAGACAAUGCGUUGGGGAUUCCAGAGGAUUGAGUAUGUGUGGAAAUCUGCAGUUGGGUCAAACCAGAGAUGAAAUUGCUGCUCUCUGUUUCCUUUUCCUUGGCUGAACACAUUGGUGUGAAGAGUAUAAGGGUCACCACUCAAAUUCCCCAAGAAUUCAAAGUCAAUCUCAUCCCAUGUUGAUCCCUUUGAUGAAAGCUGAAAAAGAGGGAAAAAUUAUCAGUUAGCUAAAUGAUUCAACAUUCAUGCAUUCAAGGAGUUAAAUAUAAUCAUAUAAUCACUAGAUGAGUAGAGAACAGAACAGAACAGAACAAAACAAAUGAGAUGGUAAAGAAAUGUGUGUGUAACUGUGUAUGCUUACAUAAUAUGCGGUGACAGUGCCAGCUGAGUUUCCUGGAACGAGCUUAAUCUGCAUGUCAAUCUUGCCAAACAAGUAUUCAUUCUUGGACUCAAAUCCUGAGCCAGAGGCUUUGUCAAGGGAGAGGGUGAGGAGAUUGGCGUUGUUGAGAAUUUUGGCACGUCCAUCUCCCCAUGUAAUCUGAAAGUCUUUGUUGAAGUUACCAGCAGAACAAAGGACAAUGUAAGAAGAGCUCACAAGCAGUGGAAUAAGAAGCAUCAACAGUGAUAGGCUUGAAGAGGCCAUGUUGUGUAUCUGUGAAUGAACUAUGAACUAUGAAAUAUGAAAGAAGUGUUGAUGUGAAAGUUGGAGAGUUUGCAUGAGUUUAUAUAGUGUGGAAUGAGCGUGUUAAUUAUUUGCAACUUGGAGAAGAAAGGGAAAAGAAGGUUCAUUUUGUGCUAAGCUGGAGAUAGUUGUAUUGUACUAUUGAAUAUAUGGUAAGAAGAAAGCUGUCAAAUUAAAGAUCAACCAACCAUUGUCGUGUGUAAUUAAUAUGAAAAGGUAAAUACUGGUGGAGGGUGUGAAGCACGCGGUUUUAGGGACUUGACAUGGUUGCUAUCUCAGGUAAAGUGGUAAGUAUGAUCUUCAAGAUGAUACCACCGCCUCCACUAGCCGCCACCCUUGGACCCCUAUUACCCCAAGCGUGUGAUGUGGGGUACCAAUCAUAAUUUCUUUUUUUACUUAUCCACCAUAUACUCCAAAAGUCCAAAAACUUCACAAAGUAUAUCUGGCAGCUGCAAAGUUCAGUGGCUCAUGGAUUAGAUAGAAUCUCUUUCAAAGCCGAGAUGGAGACAUGUAACCAAAAACUUUGUACUAUUGCUGUUUAUGGAUUUAAGGAGCAAAGCUGAAGCCGGUGGAUUAUGACAAUUUAGAAGUUUUUUAAUAAAAUUAGAAAACUAUGUGCAAUAAAUGUUUAGCCAACUAAUGUUGUAGUAUGGUUCUGGUUUUAAUUACUAUAUUUUUAGUUGGUUUAGCAAAUACCCAUCAUCGACAUAUAAACGUGCGGGUGCUUAAACUAAAUGGUACACGGAUACAGUUGACCAUAAAAUAUGUUUCAUUCUCAUGGAUGAUGAAUUAACUAUCAACUACAUCUUUAAAGGACGGAGUUAGCGAUCACCAGUCCACUACAUCUUAUUGUUAGUUAUUUUUUAAGUUUAAAAAUAUAUUGGCUUAAAUAUGUUUUUGGACCUACAAAUUAAGGAUAUUUUGAUAUUAGUCCCUAAAUUUCAAAACUUGGCAAAUUGAUCCCACCUUUCUAGAUUAGAGUUACUCAAGUCCCUGUUGCCAUUCUUUGAUACAAGAAAAAGGGUGAUGGGGCAUACAAAGCUCCACAUUAAAAGGGAAAAUGAGGGUUUUGGAGCAGAAAAAAAGGAAAAAUGUAUACUCUUUCUCUUUUCCCACUAUGUAUAUAUUUAGUCAUGUAUAAGUGUUAGAAUUGAGAAAGCAUGGAGUACAGAGAAGCUAAUUAAUAAUUUAAUCUAAUUAGAAUUACAGAAAUCAUAGUUUGAUUUCUUAUAAAUAAUAAUCGAUCAUCCAUCAAAUUGGUUAAUUAACACGCAAUGACCAUGUAAUGAUAAUCAACUAAUGCAAUACCACGAAUGAAUGACCUGUUAAAAAUAUUGCUUAAAAUAGGAAAGAGAUAAUGACGGACCCAAUCUUAAACAAAUCUACGACUAACAUUAUAAAUUAGAGGGAAAAGAUAAACCAAACAAAGCAGUGAUCUCCUCCAGAGUAGUUUCUUCUAGCUCACCAAGCUCCACAACAUCUUCGUAAUGCAAACUUAAGCUAAGACGAAAUUGAAUGACCUAAUGGCUUCCCUCUGCUUAUGACAUAAGCGAGCAACGCCACUCACCACGACUAUGCAUACCUCUAGCAUAAUCAAGCUCUUUGACCUUUUUUUUCUUCUUCAAGUUUUCCUUCUCCUUUUUCACUUAUUCGAGUGUUACUUUGUAUUUUGCAACUUUCAAGAUAAAAAAACAUGAGCUUUAUUAGACAAUGCGAAAAUGAUACACACUUUACAAUCAUAAAACAUAAAAACAUUACUACGAAAUAUGAGUUAAUUAAUGAAUAAACAAUAUAUAAUAUAUAUAUAUAUAUAAUAUAUAUAUAUAUAUAUAUAUAUAUAUAUGUGAAUCACAAGAGAUAUAUCAAAGUUGAAUAGUUACACCUAAUUCCAACAAAAUAAGUUUAGAUAUACAUUUCCAUUUCCAUGUAUGCUUACAAACUUAGAGAUGAAAACUACGAACAACCAGAUAAUCUUGUGACUCUUGGAGGAUGUCAUCUCUACUGAGGGUGGAAGAUCAAAAAGCUUCUCUUUUGUUUUCUCCGUUAUGGAAUUUGUAUUCACCGACAUUAUCCAAGCUUCUAUGUAUUUCUAGCUUUUAAACAUGCCAGGUAAAGUCUGCACUUGCUUAGCGAUGGAAAUUUCGCUUAGCAAGUGCACUUACCUGCAAGGGAAACAAACUCAUGCUCGCUUAGUGGGCAUAUACUUGCGCUUAGAGAGGGCUUGUUUUCUAAUGCUAUUGCAUACCGCCUCAGACUUGCCCAACUAUAAAAUCCUACAUGAGCAAAUUUCUUCCGGCGUUCAUUCCUCCCAUAACUCAAAAUCUCCACAGUCUCUAACAUUUUAUAAGAAUUUGGAAUUAAACUCAUAAUCUUCGAUAUUUACACAAUCUUUGCCAAAUAAUAAUAAUUUACUAAAUAAAUACAUUGAGGGAUAAAAUGAUUUACAACACAAGCAUUUAAGUUGAAGAUCGCAAGGUAUAAGAGAAAUAAGAAAUAGUCAUUUGAAGGACUAUCUUUUUUAGGUGCUCAAACUUUUAACCUGAAGUUGCAGAUGUUUUUGAUCCCUAAUAGCUUCUUAUCUAUCUUCUGGACAUGUUAUAAGUCACUGUCUGAAACUAUUUUUGCCCAAACUGGUGAUAGAUGAGAGGAUGAAAAACUGACGAAAGGGCCUAUCGUUAUCAAAAUGAGCUGUCAUUCCUAGCAAAUAACAACUUUUCGAGGUGAUGCCAUGAAGGUCACCAACUUUAUGUAUGCAUUAUACCAAAACCUUUCCUAAAUAAAUAGAUAGGUUACUUGUUCCCAACCCAUGCUUAUGAGGACCACAAAAUCUGGAAAUAGUACCCUUCAUGUUGAAUCCUUCACUCCAAUUGUGUUUAGAUUUUUUUUUUCAUUUAUUGAGUUAUAAGUGGAUAAAGUUCCUUAUUUAUUUUGACAUUGUAAAAAUGCUAAUGCAUUGGUUAGAUGACGGAUACGCAUCAUUCAUAGAGAUAAUGUUGGCAUGAGCUGUCAAUUAGGAUUAUAGAUUGGUAGAAUCAAUUUGUAUUCCCUGAUUUAAGGGUAUAGAAAUAUUAGCAUUAGAUUAUUUACUUCCUAAAAUAGAGACCGUGAUUGUCUCUUGUAUUGAUAUAUAUGUCUAUAGCUGCUACAGCAAAAGUAUAAUGAAAAUAUACAGAAAUUCUCCAUGUUGCUCUCUGUGUUAACAUGGUAUCAGAGCAGAAGCAACGAUCCUAAUCUCUGAUAUCGAUUUCUGACCACCAGAAGUAAUCACUAGCUAUGGAAGAAGAAAUUAAUUUGGGGGAACCUGCUGAUGGAAAGCAAGACAAAGGAAACCCCAUGAACAAGAUCUUCGAGGAUUUUACAUCAAGAAUAACACAAAUUCUAACUCAGAAUCAGACCCAGAUCCACCCACCCAUGGUUGAUGCUCCUGCUGCACAGAUUGGCAUCAAACUGGAUGGCACGAACUUCCCCCUAUGGUCCCAAGUUGUCGAGAUGUACAUCUCAGGCAAAGACAAACUUGGGUACAUCAAUGGAGAUACUCCGGAGCCUCCAGCCACAGAUCCGACAUACCGAAAAUGGAGAACAUAAAAUGCAAUUGUGAAGGGUUGGCUGAUCAACUCCUUGGAUCCAUCCCUGAUAGGGAAUUUCAUCCGCUUUCCCACUGCAAAAAUGGUAUGGGAUUAUAUUUCUACAACCUUUUUUGAUGGAACUGAUACGUCCAAAGUAUAUGACUUAAAAAGACAGGUGACUCGAAUGAGACAGGCCGGAGGGUCCAUUGAAAAAUAUUACAAUGACCUUCAACGCUUGUGGCGAGAAAUUGACUUUCGACGACCUAACCCAAUGGUGUGCGCUGCUGAUAUAUCAAAGCACAAUGCAAUUACCCAAGAAGACAGAGUCUAUAUCUUCCUCGAUGGAUUGGAUGAUCGACUUGAUAAAAUUCGGAGUGAUGUACUGCAGCUACAACCGUUUCCCACAGUAGAGCAAGCCUAUGUCCAUGUUCGAAGGGAAGAUAUCAGACAAGCUGUGAUGAUAACAGGAACUGAAGAUACAACUGGUGCAGUUAUGGCUUCCAAGGGAAUCAAGAUGGGCAAACAACCACCCUCCCUCAUUCAAAUGUCUCAUGCUGCAGGUAGUGGGGAAAUGAACAAAACCGGCAAAGCUAAGGCACCAUUGGAAGGGGGAGGAUGUACUCAUUGUGGAAAUAUGAAACACACCCGUGAAACUUGCUUUCAGAUUCAUGGGUUCCCAGAAUGGUGGCAUGAACUCAAGACCCGGAAACACAAGAAAAAGCUGUCAAUAGGAGCUCUGGACAAGUUUCCCUAAUGAACGCAGAGCCACAAUUAUCCUUCUCCUCACAAGUAGAAUCUUCAAAUGGGGUGAAUGCACCAAAUCAAGAAGGUAAGUGUGCUCAAGCUUUCCAUACUUCUAACCAGAAAAGUAACACGGACUGGAUAAUUGCCUUAGGAGCAACUGAUCACUUGACAUUUGAUUCUAGUGAAUUUAUCAAGUUCACUCCACCAAGAAGAACAAGUAUUGCAAAUGCUAAUGGGGUCACAUAUCCAGUUACAGGGGCUGGAACUGUUGUUCUUUCCCAUUCUCUAUCAUUAUCUAACACUUUAUUAGUUCCAUCACUCUCAAAUAAAUUAAUCUCAGUAGGUCAAGCUACUGAAAUUGUGUUGCUCUACUUUAUCCUAAUUUUUGCCUUCUUCAGGAUAUUCUCACCCAGGAGAUCAUUGGGCGUGGUACUAAGAGAGAGGGGUUAUAUUACAUGGAUGAUUUCAGUCCGGGCAAGGCUUAUCAUAUGCAAUAGGAAACGAAUGCAAAAGAGAAAGAGAUCUGGCUAUGGCAUCAUCGUUUGGGACAUCCAUCAUUUAGUUACAUGAGACAUCUAUUUCCAGUUUUGUUUUCCAAGAUAGAUAUUUCAGAUUUUAAAUGUCAAACUUGCAUGUUAGCCAAAAGCCAUCGUGCUUCUUAUCCAAUAAGCUUGAAUAAAAGUGAAAUUCCUUUCGCAUUGAUUCAUUCUGAUGUGUGGGGACCCUCUCCUGUUACAAAUUCUUCUGGCAUUCGUUGGUUUGUCACUUUUGUGGAUGAUUGUACUCGAAUGACUUGGUUGUACUUGCUGAAACAUAAAAAUGAUGUGUUUGGUGUGUUUCGGUCUUUCCAUGCAAUGAUUCAGACACAAUUCUCAGCAAAAAUCCAGAUCCUUCGUUCUGAUAAUGGUGGAGAAUAUAUUAAUAAGGAGUUUCAAGAGUACUUCAAGAGAAAUGGCUUAAUCCAUGAAACCUCUUGUGCUCAAACACCCCAACAAAAUGGAAUUGCAGAACGGAAGAAUAGACACAUCUUAGAAAUGGCCCGUGCUUUAUUAAUUGGAGCACAUGUGCCUUGCAGAUACUGGGAAGAUGUUGUUGUCACAUAUGUACAUCUAUUGAACCGUAUGCCUUCAAAGGUACUGAGUUUUAAAACCCCAUUGGAAGUUCUUUCUACAUAUGUUCCCCUACCUACUACUCUAGUGAUCCCCCCUAGAGUUUUUGAGUGUGUUGCAUUUGUUCAUCUUCAUAAAAAUCAACGCACAAAACUUGAUCCAUGUGCAGUUCGGUGUAUCUUUUUAGGUUAUGGGACACACAAAAGGGAUAUCGUUGUUAUGAUCCUACCCACAAACGCACCUAUAUCACUAUGGAUGUUACUUUCUUGGAGUCUGAAACUUUUUUUCCCUCCAGUGGGCUCAAAUUCUUCUUUUCAGGGGGAGAUGCAAGAUGAAAAGAAUAUUUGGCAGAAUUGGCUAGGACUUGAGGUCAACCCAAUUUAUGUUAGUAAUGAUAAUGCAGAGAUGAUUUGUGAGAAUAUUGGAACCGAUGAUGAGCAAGGAAAUGAAUUGAACUCUGAACUGGAAGAAAGACAUGAUACUGGUGAAGCUAAUAUUGAACAUGAAGAGGGACAAUGUGCUGGCAUUAUUCAAGAGGGUGAAUCUUCCGAAUUUGAAAUUGACCCCCCUUACUCUUCAGUACAAGAACUCCCAACUCCUGAGAAUAUCACUGAGGUAAGUUUUCAUACCACUCCUACAAUAUCUUCUCCCAUUAAUAACUUGGACAUUUCCGCUGGUUAUAAUUUACCUUUCAGACAUAAUCGUGGCAAGCCACCAAAUCGGUACUCACCAGAUUUUGAAGAAAGGAGGUCAAAAUACCCAAUCUCCAAUUAUGUGUCUACUGGGAGAUUAUUACAGCCCCUCAAAGCAUUUGUGAACAACUUAUCUUCAUGUUACAUCCCCAACAGAAUAGAAGAAGCUCUAACUGAUCCAAAUUGGGUUCAAGCCAUCGAAGUAGAAAUGGAAGCCUUGCAUAAGAAUAGAACUUGGACCCUCAUUUCAUUGCCAAAAGGAAAGAAGACAGUGGGAUGCAAGUGGGUUUUUUCCAUUAAACACAAAGCAGAUGGAUCUAUUGAAAGAUACAAGGCGAGACUUGUGGCAAAGGGAUAUACACAAACAUAUGGAAUUGAUUAUCAAGAAACUUUCUCACUGGUGGCAAAAUUGAGCACGGUCAGAGUUUUAUUGUCUCUUGCUGUAAAUUUAGACUGGCCACUACACCAGUUUGAUGUGAAAAAUGCUUUUCUCCAUGGUGAUCUUGAGGAGGAGGUUUACAUGGAUAUUCCUCCAGGCUACACACCAUCUUCUAAGGUUGAAGUUGUGUGCAAGUUGCAAAGAGCAUUGUACGGGCUGAAACAAUCGCCACGAGCAUGGUUUGGCAGGUUUAGCUUGGCCAUGAGAAAAUAUGGCUUCCAACAGAGCAAUUCAGAUCAUACUCUUUUCUUGAAACACCGAUUGGGGAAAGUAACAGCCUUGAUAAUUUAUGUUGAUGACAUGAUAACUACAGGGGAUGAUGUGGAAGAAAUUUCUAGAGUCCAAGAUCAGUUGGCCACAGAGUUUGAGAUGAAGAACCUUGGAGGACUCAAAUAUUUCCUAGGAAUUGAGGUGGCUAGAUCAAAGAAAGGUAUAUUCCUUUCUCAGAGAAAAUAUGUGUUGGACUUACUUUCAGAAGCGGGUUUAUUGGACUGCAAGCCAGCUGAUACGCCAAUGGUCCAAAAUCACAAGCUUGGAGAGUAUGCAGAUCAGGUGCCAACUAAUAAAGAAAGAUAUCAGAAACUGGUUGGUAAGCUGAUUUAUUUAUCCCACACCAGACCUGAUAUCUCCUAUGCCGUUAGCAUUGUAAGUCAAUUUAUGCAUUGUCUUAGUGAGGAUCAUAUGGAAGCUGUAAUUCAGAUUCUUCGUUAUUUAAAAUCCUCUCCGGGAAAAGGACUAUUGUUCUCCAAGAAUAAUCAUUUAAAUAUUGAUGGCUAUAUGGACGCUGAUUGGGCUGGGAAUAUCACGGACAGAAAAUCCACAUCAGGCUAUCUUACUUUUGUAGGAGGGAAUUUGGUUACAUGGAGAAGUAAGAAACAAAAAGUUGUGGCGUUAUCUAGUGCUGAAGCUGAAUUCAGAGGAAUGAGAAAAGGACUUUGUGAACUUCUUUGGCUUAAAAGGCUGCUUACUGAGAUGGGUUUUCCACCUAGCACAGAGAUGAAAUUAUUCUGUGAUAAUAAGGCAGCUAUCGACAUUUCUCAUAAUCCUGUCCAACAUGAUCGAACCAAACAUGUUGAGGUGGAUCGACACUUCAUCAAACAAAACCUUGAAAGCAAGAUAGUUCGCUUUUCGUUCGUUAAAUCUGAAGACCAACUUGCUGAUAUGCUUACAAAGGCAAUUUCAAGCAAGGUCUUUCACAACUCACUUGACAAGAUGGGUCUCAUAGAUAUCUUCACACCAUCUUGAGGGGGAGUGUUGGCAUGAGCUGUCAAUUAGGCAUAAUUAUAGAUUGGUAGAAUCAAUUUGUAUUCCCAGGUUUAAGGGUAUAGCAAUAUUAGCAUUAGAUUAUUUAUUUCCUAAAAUAGAGACCGUGAUUGUCUCUUGUAUUGAUAUAUAUAUGUCUAUAGCUGCUACAGCAAAAGUAUAAUGAAAAUAUACAGAAAUUCUCCAUGUUGCUCUCUGUGUUAACAGAUAACACAUUAUUAUUAACACUUAUUAUUAAUUCGUUACACUAGUAGUGUUUGUUACAUUGUUAUUAAUAAGUUUCGUUUCUGAGAUUAGUUGUAUAUAAGCUUUGUUCCCAUCAUUUUCUUCCUCUCUAUUCUUGCUGAUUUUUGCAAUAAGUCUCGAAGAUUUUAACUCAAAGUAACAUGUAUACACUUAUUCUUAUUGGUUAAUUUGUUUACACUUUAUGGCAAUUCACAAUAAUCAUGCAGGAAAGAAUAUAGAUACAUUAAUGAUUAGACAAAAAUAUUAAAUAAGGAAAUACAAAAAUAUUUCAAAAAAUAAAGAACAAUCUUUUUUGAAAGCAAGAAAAAUUUAAUCUAAAUAAGAUAGAUGGAAGAACUUUUAGCAGAUUUUAUUCAUUUUUUUUAUAAGCCAAGCGAUUGUAUUCAAAUAAAGCAUAAGGGUAGCAGAUUUUAUUCAUACUAGAUGUUAUUCAUGCAUUUGCCAAACGUAUAUUAAUAAAAUAAUUUAGUAAAAUAAUAUUCACUUUAAAAAACGAUAUGCAAACUUUGUUACAACAAAUCAUGAUAGUGGAGAAGUAUUUGUGAAUAAAUUUUUCCUACCAGUCUGUUGAAAAUAUUUUUGACCAUCCAAUACAUAUUUUAUACCUAUAUAUAGAAGUUUUCAUCAUAUUUUAUGUACUCAUGAUUUAUUGAUUGUUGAAAAAAAAUGCAAUUUUUAUUUCUACCAUAAUAAUAGCAUGUUUGUGAAAUUAUUCAUAACAAAAAAAAUAUUUUAGUGUCAAAAAUUCAAAUGUUAAACAUGAAUUAAAAUGAAAAAUGAGCGAGAAAACAAUAAUUGGACUCUAGUUGUUUAGUUUUAAAAGUGGAGGGACCAAAAUCUCAUCUUUAUUAGGACCACAAAUGUAGCUAAGCCUAAAUUCUAAUAGGAAAAUGGCUGAGAGGCAGAGAAGUGAAAGAAAAAACGGGUAGCCAUAAAAGAAUAAUGAACCGCCAUGAGGUUUGGGUCGGAGUUUCAAGGAGUUGGGCUUGUUAACUAGCAGGUCAGGGACUCACAAUCACAAGUACAUAAAUCCCAUCUUGCAAGGGAACCCACUAGGUCAGCAGGAUAUUCCGCAGUUAUACACCCGCUGCAGAAGACUGUGUGACCCCCGCCCGACUACACCCAAUCUCAUAGAUUAGUCAACCAACAGGAUACAAUGUACCCAUUAGGGGUGUUUGUGGGACAGGUUGGGACGAGUUCCACUUUACUUUUACCCGACCCUAAAUAUUGAUUGGGUCAGUUUUUAAACAUGAACCGUCCCUAGAUCCAAUAGGUGCGAGUUCACCAUAGAUCAGGUCACAAAAAGAUGCAUCCUGGUUGGUCCGAAGGACAAAUUGAAAGUAAAUUUCGAAUUUCAAUAAGGAAUUAUAAAUACUUAUCAUUAUGUAAAAAAAUAAUUUCUUAUCCUAUUAAUGAAUUAUGAAAGAAACUACAUAAAAGUGAAGGUUUUCAUAACAAAAUACUAAACUAGAGCAAAGAAUAUAAAUUUAGUUCACUUGAAACUUAACAAUUAAUGAAAAUAUACAAAACCAUAUUUUCAGGUUAGUGGAUAAGUAGAGUUGUGGGACGAGUUUGACUUGACUUCUACCCGACGCUAAAUAUUGAUAUGAUCCAGUUUUUAAAUUCGAAUCCGUCCUAGACCCAAAGAAACCCGACGAGAUGCGGGUCUAAAGGACAUGGGCUAGGACGAGUCAAUGGACAGGACCGAAUCCUGUACACCCCUAGUGCUCAUAUCUUGGAUUAGGGGGCUAACCUAUUAUAUAAAAGGGUCUUCGCUAACCAUUGUAUGUUCAUUCUUUUAGUAAAACAUUUACUAUUGUUUUACUCAGCCGACUUUAGCAACAAAAAAAAAUUAACAAUUUAUUGUUUCAAAGUUGAUCUACACGUGAAAUUUUACAUUGUAUAGAACACAGAACCAAAGAGUAUUUGUAAAAAAACAAACCCAAAGAAUAUAAGACAUAAAAGAAUGAUACUACGAUAUUGAAACACUAUUUGAAGAUUCCUCUAUGAAUGGGUGCAUUCGGUUGGAAGGCCUUGUGGAAAUCUCUUCUUGUCAGCGCAGUAAUUGUAGACCAUGUAGUUCUUCUGCACCCACCGCAACCUCUGGUAACCAGUGGAAUCAAGCUCUUGCUUGAGCCAUGAUGCAGAGCCAGAAGCAGAGGAAGGUGAGUUUGAUUUGCAUGAUGAUUUCCCACCGCUCCAAACACAAGCAUUAUUGGCAUUGAAAUUUCUAUAUGAUGCGGUGAAUGGAGCCUUAGACCAAUCUGUCUUGACUAGUCCACCCCUUGUGGCCCAAUCAUCAGCAUUCCACAGGCUUGAGGUUAACCUCAUUGGUUGAUUCUUUGGAAAUGGAACUCCAGCUGAUUCCAAAUUCUUGAACUCCCUAAUUGGUGUCCCAUCCACUGAAAAGACAAUGCGUUGGGGAUUCCAGAGGAUUGAGUAUGUGUGGAAAUCUG